rnacentral:rRNA from 1 species
GAUGAACGCUGGCGGCGUGCCUAAUACAUGCAAGUCGAGCGAACAGACGAGGAGUUUGCUCCUCUGACGUAAGCGGCGGACGGGUGAUUAACACGUGGAUAACCUACCUAUAAGACUGGGAGAACUUCGGGAAACCGGAGCUAAUACCGGAUAAUAUAUUGAACCGCAUGGUGCAAUAGUGAAAGACGGUUUUGCGGUCACUUAUAGAUGGAUCCGCGCCGCAUUCGCUAGUUGGUAAGGUAACGGCUUAGCAAGGCGACGAUGCGUAGCCGACCUGAGAGCGUGAUCGGCCACACUGUAACUGAGACACGGUCCCGACUCCUACGGGAGGCAGCAGUAGAGACUCUUACGCAAUGGGCGAAAGCCUGACGGAGCAACGCCGCGUGAAUGAUGAAGGUCUUCGGAUCGUAAAGCUCUGUUAUUAGGGAAGAACAAAUGUGUAAGUAACUAUGCACGUCUUGACGGUACCUAAACAGAAAGCCCCGGCUAACUACGUG